GACGAACGCUGGCGGCGUGCCUAAUACAUGCAAGUCGAGCGGACGGAUGGGAGCUUGCUCCCAGACCGUCAGCGGCGGACGGGUGAGUAACACGUGGGCAACCUGCCUGUAAGACUGGGAUAACUCCGGGAAACCGGGGCUAAUACCGGAUAACUCUUUCCCUCACAUGAGGGAAAGCUGAAAGAUGGCAUCUCGCUAUCACUUACAGAUGGGCCCGCGGCGCAUUAGCUAGUUGGUGGGGUAACGGCUCACCAAGGCGACGAUGCGUAGCCGACCUGAGAGGGUGAUCGGCCACACUGGAACUGAGACACGGCCCAGACUCCUACGGGAGGCAGCAGUAGGGAAUCUUCCGCAAUGGACGAAAGUCUGACGGAGCAACGCCGCGUGAGUGAUGAAGGUUUUCGGAUCGUAAAACUCUGUUGUCAGGGAAGAACAAGUACCGGAGUAACUGCCGGUACCUUGACGGUACCUGAACAGAAAGCCACGGCUAACUACGUG
rnacentral:rRNA from 1 species